rnacentral:sRNA from 1 species
GCCAGGUGCGGUGGUGCAUGCCUGUAAUUCCAGGGGCUCUGGAGGCUGAGGCAGGAGGAUUUGGGGUUCAAAGCCAGCCUCAGCAAAAGCAUGACACUAAGAAACUCAGUGAGACCCUGUCUCUA